rnacentral:tRNA from 1 species
AUCAUGGCUGAAUGGUUAAAGCGCCCAACUCUUAAUUGGCAUUCGUAGGUUCGAGCCCUGCUGGAUGCA